rnacentral:lncRNA from 12 species
CCCUCGGUGCCCACCCGCCUCUCCCCACCCCUGCAGAAGCCCGGACUGGAGCCCGCAGCACCUCCACAGUCCCCCCACCCUGCAGCAAGAGGUGACCCCAGCCGCGGGGCUGAGCUGGGGGGACAGAGACAUCGCCUGUUUGCAAAGCUGACAGCCUUCGGUGCAGUACCAUCUCAGAGAAACUUCCUUUCAAACAAUGCUUUCUGGAGCUACAGACCAGCUUGGGCAUAAGAAAGGGGCUUUGCAAGAAACUUCAGAUCACAUCUGACAUGGUUUUCUACGGUCAUCAGGUCAGCGUUUGAAGUUGCCGUCUCCAAGCAACUCAACUCAGCUCCAAAUGUGACUUUGAAGCAGAUAGCUGUGGUUGGUUUGAAGCAAUUAGUGGUGACCAUUUUGAUUGGGUAUGGAACUCUAGAAGUAACCUUUUGGCUGAAUUUGAGCAACAGGCUCCACCUAGGGAUCAUACUCCCAACACAACUGAAGGUAAUAAGCAAGGAGAGGCUUUUGUUCACCCUUGGUCAGGCCUGUUAAGAGACAGAUAAGCAUUUAAAGCUCUAUGUUACUGCAACAAAUAGUGUGACAAAUAGCUAAAUAGUGUCAAUUACGUUUAUGUUGUUAGUGUGAAAUGACUCCUUUAAGGGUGGUUGGGAGGGAGUAUAGAUAUGCUUUUGGCUGAAUUCACUUAAAUUAUUAACUUUUUGCAUGAUUUUCAACCUGGAGGUAGAUACUAGUUUAGUUUUCAUAAGAGCAAAUUUGACUCAUCAUAUUUAUUGAUUUUUGAUUGUAUAGUCUUAAUUUUAGUCAGACACAGAGCUUAGUACAAGGUUAAGAGGCAGGUGCCUCAACUCAGUCGGCUAACUUACAAUUUGUAUUUGUAUCUCAAUAGGGCAUUUUAUGUUCAUUCUGAAGAAAGCAGAAGCUUGUCACAAGUUGCCAAAUUCCAGAGCCCAACGUUUAGCCAGGCAGGACCUGGAUGAAUACUUUCCUUCUGGUAAAUACUAAAAACUGUGGUCAGCUACCCCAGCAACCCGGUGGUUGCAGGCGUACUUCUGCACUUGUUAGACUUUAUGAUUUGCCCUUGGUUUGCCUUUAAAAAUAGGUACUGUUAUAUUUAUACAAUUAGCAUUUUACUUAGAAGCACAUUAUCAGUAUUUGUUGUGUUCUUUCUUUAGAUGAAAGAGACUCUUUCCCUCCAACAGUGGAUUAUAAUUUAAUUAACUCUGCCUCCUCUGUUCUAGAUGGAACUCCUUGAGAAAGGCUCCCAGGGUCCUGGAGCCAGAGUAUGCACCUCAGCAGAUAAGCUCUCGCAUAUGAGCAGCAAUGAUUACUGCAAGAAAUAAAGGCGUCCAUUGUAGCUAAUUAUUAAUCA